ACCCAAUUGCAGACUCCUCCCAGUGCGCAGGCUGGUCAGAGGUUUUCCCGGGACGCGUUUUUACUUGGCUGUCUCACAAACAUGCCUACCGUACACUGAGCCUUGGAGGAGAUAAAGAAGACACCCACAGCCCUAAGAAAAAAGAAACACCAAAGCAAUUCUAAUAUAAAGUUUAGAAACAUUUCUGAAUAUUGAAAUAUUGAACUUCUCAUCACCCCACUGGAUUGUACAUUCUUGGAAGACAGUGUGUCCAGAAUUAGUGGGUUCUUGGUCUCACUGACUUCAAGAAUGAAGCCGCGGACCCUCACGGUGAGUGUUACAGCUCUUAAGGUGGCGCAUCUGGAGUUUGUUCCUUCUGAUGUUCGGAUGUGUUCGGAGUUUUUUCCUUCUGGUGGGUUCGUGGUCUCGCUGGCUCAGGAGUGAAGCUGCAGACCUUUGCGAUCCAGGGGACAUGGCAAAAAGAACCUGAAUUCAUCAUGAGGAAGGAACCCAUCACAAGGAAGCAACCUAUGAAGGCAGCCAUUAGGCAAGGGACAUCUGAGAUGGGCACUGCAAGCAUGUUCAAGAAAACACCUCUUCUGCCAGCUAGAGGCUCCCCCGCCCAGUGGAGGAGGAAUCAAAUUCCACCAUCUUUAAUCUGGCUACACCAUAUUUGAAUAAUAAUCCUGAAAUUCACAUUGAUGCUCAAGAAGUCGCUUCUUCAAAACUUUAAGUCUCCAGAACUUACAUUAGAAGCGUCCUGAAAUACGUUUGGGUGUGGCCCGUGCACACAGCCCCAGCUACAACAUUGAGAAGUUACCUGUGGCCCAGCCAGAGCUACGAGGGCAAUGCCAAGGGCACUUGUGCACCAGCUUGUUAGAUAAGUUCAGUGACUUGAAACAGCGCCAGAGGUGAAUCCGUUUCCACUGCUAGGGAAUCUUCUCUCAGAGCACUAGUCUUCUCUUCUGCUGGGAUGAAAGGAAAGCUUUGAUUUUUUUAAAAAAAUCAUAUAAUGAAAAAUGACAUAUUGUAGAUAAAAUAUACUGUAGUUUAAAAUGUUGCAAUUUCCAAACAUUAGUGUAAUUAUAGGCCCUGAAUAAACUUGGAAAGCUAAGGCACACUGCAGCCAGCAGCCCAAACCUGUAAGUAUGCUUAUAAUCUAAAAUGGAUAUCUCAUUACUGGUUAACAUUAUUUAUUUAGGAGGAGAUACGACCUCUAAUUUGCCUUUAAAUGAUUAAUUUGGUGUUUAAAUAAGUGCCUUUUACUUAAUAAUGUUUUCUUCAACCAAUUCACUUAUGUCAAUAAACUCUUUGUUUAACCUUCUUAAAGGAAA
ensembl:lncRNA novel transcript